ensembl:lncRNA
CAGACCCUGAAUUGGGACAGAGUCACUAAGUUUGUCGUUUUUAGGAGUGUUACACUUCCCUUUGUCAGGCCUGUGAUGCGUCUUAAUAUCUGCUGGUGGAUAGGAAGUAUUUUUUGUUGUGGCACAAAUCACUUGUGUGCUAUCUUAUUGUAUAUGUACCAGAUUGUUGUGGAAACACUUUAAAGUGUUUGUACAGAUAAUACCUGAGUUUGUGUUUGCUAUAUUUCAUGCAAAGCUUGUAUAUAGAUUUGGUGUUUUGAAAGAUUUUAGACAUGAACAGUUUAUCUAAGUUCUAAAAACUAUUCAUUAAACAUGUUUGUGGUUUUCACAGUAAAAAUCAUAAUUUUCUACUGUCAGCUGGGAAGACUUCAGUGAGCCUCCAAACAUGGCUGCUGGUCCAUGGUCUGUGGUCUGUGACAUCACAGCGAGGCCACGAAGGCUGUCCAGAAUCCCAGGCUCCCACAACCGUGUCCUCCUUCUCCCUGGAUUUGAAGGACAGCUGUUUGCGUGUCGAGGAGCCUGUGCCUUCACCACGGAAGUCUCAAAUUUCCCAGGAAUGGGUGGACCAAAGACCAGCUUUCCAGAGUCAUUAUUUUGUUUUAGGAGGGUUUUUUUUUUUUCAUUUUGUUAGACAUGGCACAGUUGAAAGUAAAAGAAG